GGGCGAGUGGCGGAACUGGUAGACGCACUGGCUUCAGGAGCCAGCGGGGGCAACCCCAUGAGAGUUCGAGUCUCUCCUCGCCCACCA
rnacentral:tRNA from 2 species